AGGUAUAUUGCAUACUAAAUUUGGAGACUAACCACACAUUUUACAAAAGUCAUUUGGUUAAAGGAUUAAUGCCAAAUAGUAGUUGCAAAUGGAAAACAGAAAAGGAAUAAGGAAAAAGAAGAAAGACACUAUGCACUUAGGCCCAGUGCUACAGUGCAUGACCCAGCCCACCUCCAGUCUCCUCCCACCUCACAUACAGGAGCCCUGCCGUGGCCGUGCGCAUGCCGUCCACGCGCUCAAUUGAUCUCGUGUCGAGCAUCCACGACCAUCUAGAGAAAGAUAAGACCGCCCCCAACCCACAGGACAAACCCUGAUCCCCAUUCUCUCCCUCGUUCACUAUCUUUCUCAAAUAAGAUCUCGCCCGAGCCGUGCUCGCCACGACCGUCGUCGUCGCCGCGGCCAACGUGCUCCCUGUCGCCUGAGGAGAUGUCCAGGAGGACUCUCGCGGUCGACUACGUCUUCUCCGAGCCUCCAAUCGAACUGGGACACCCCGAGCGCUCGCGAUCGAGCGUCUUCCUCGCGUCCGGUCGCCACUGCCCCACCCUGGAUCUCCUCCCUCAGCGCUCCCCCGGCCUCCCGAGCACAUCAUCGAGAACCGCUGUGAGGCCCUCGUCCAAGUCCCCUUCUCCACCCCUUAGAAUCCGUGCCAUAGCCGCCACCCUUGAGCUCGCCCGGAGCUCCGUGUGCCCACUCGCCUCUGGCCGCGUUCACCGCGCCCAAGUCUUCCCCUGACCACACCCGGAUCCUCGUGCUCACGCCUGCAUCCGCCCGCCGCACUCCCAUGUCCGCGCACGUGGCCGCGUUCACGCGCGCCCCCGGCCGCCCCGUUCGCGCUCCUGGUCGCGCCUACCGCACCCCGUACUCCACUGUGUGCGUCGCCCACUCCCUGCCCUGCGCGCACCCAUGCCUCCGUGUGCCCCUGCCUGCACCGGGACUCGCCACUGCAGGCCGCUGCUAUUGCUUGCUUCUCUUGCUUUGCGUACUGCUACUGCUCAAGCAACUGCCUUCUCCUGUCGCUGCCUACUAUAGUUGCUGCCCUGCUCAUCCAGCCCCUGCUGCUGCUGUGCACUGCUACUGGCCAUGGCCAGGUUCGUGGCCGUGCAUGCUGUGUGCGCGCACAGCAUGUAUGUGAGUUGUGUGUGUGGUGUUUGUGUGUGGCCGGUGUGCCAGUGCGCUAGGUGAGCGUGCGUGUGUGUGAGUGUUGUGUGUGUGCACAUCAUGCAUAACCGGAUGUGCCUCUGGCCGGCUUAAUUAACUAGAGAUAGAUUAGUUUUAGGAUUAGAUUACUGGGCUAAAUAACCUAAUGUGUAGAUGACAUGUGCCCCACUAGUUUAACUUAGUUUAGACUAAUUGAAUUGCCCCUGUGGCCCUUACAUGUGGGCCACACCUGCCCCUUUGACUAACCAAAUUUGACUUGGUCAAUUCGGAUUAUCUAUACCAAUAUAAAAAGAGCCAAAGGGGUAGAUUCAACUGAUCUCGGCAAUCAAACUAAGUCAAUCUAACGACCUAGAUUGCUCCAAUGGCGAGCGUUCAAUGUGUUUAACUUGCAAUUAAUAUCAUACCAAAUAUUGCACUAACCAUAUAAUUAACACAUAAAUAAUAGCAUACCUAAUAUCCGCGUGCAAUUAAUAUAUUGCCUAAAUAUUAACGUGUGUUGCACGUGCGCAUUUACUAGUUCUAAAUAAAAAACAGAAAAUUAUUUAAACUUUGAAAACUAAUAAAAAAUUAUUCGUAACUCGGAUGAAAAUACUUUGAACAUGAAAGUUGCUCAGAACGACGAGACGAAUCCGAAUACACAACCCGUUCAUCCGCCACACAUCCCUAGCAUAGCGAACACGCAACUUUUCCCCUCCGGUUUGUCUGUCCGAAAACGCGAAACACCGGUGAUACUUUCCCGGUUGUCCCCCCCCCUUUGUCGGUAUCAUCUAGUACUGCGUUAGGUCACCUCUAGCAUUACGUAUUGCCAUGUUAUGCUUUGUGAUGUUUUGAUUGCUCUGUUGUUUAUUGUGUUCCCAUCCGUUACUUGUUUCCCGUAGACCCCGGGACCGAUGUCGGUACCCCUGUGAUCGACUACAUCGACAACGAACCCUUCUUGCCGGAGCAACCAGGCAAGCCCCCCCCCCCCCGAUCAUCAGAUAUUGCCUAUUCUUCUCUCUAUUGCUUGCAUUAGAGUAGUGUAGCAUCUUACUGUUUUCGGUUAAUCCUAUUCUGUUGCAUAGCCUGUCAUUGUUGCUACAGAUGUUGAUACCUUACCUGCAUUCCUAAAUGCUUAGUAUAGGAUGCUAGUUUAUCAUCAGUGGCCCUACAUUCUUGUCCGUCUGUUGUGUUAUACUGUCGGGCCGUGAUCACUAGGGAGGUGAUCACGGGUAUAUACUUAUGUAUAUAUACAUGAUACAUGUGAUGACUAAAGUCGGGUCGGUUCGUAGAGUACCUGUGAGUGAUUCCGGUGUGGGGGCUGAAAGGACGGGUGGUUCCAUCCCGGUGGUGGUGGGUCUGGGUUCCUGACGGCCCCCGACUGUUACUUUGUGGCGGAGCGACAGGGCAGGUUGAGAUCACCUAGGUGAGAGGUGGGCCUGACCCUGGUCGGCGUCUGUGGUUACAUCAAUUAACACACUUAACACGAUCUUGGUAUUUGAUCUGAGUCUGGCCACUACCAUAUACACACUAACCAACUACGCGAGAAUAGUUAUGCGCAAUCGACGUUGUGGUAUCAGCCGAAGCCUUCGUGACGUCAGCGACUGAGCGGAGCGCGCCGGGUUGGACCACGUAACGCAACUUCCUUUGUAAUGGAGGUUGCUAGUUCUGACCGCCAUCGCGUACGCAACGUGUAGGUGUGCAAUGGGCGAUGGGCCCAGACCCCUACGCGCAUAGGAUUUAGACCGGCGUGCUGGCCUCUUUGUUGUGCCUGUUGGAAAUAUGCCCUAGAGGCAAUAAUAAAUUGGUUAUUAUUAUAUUUCCUUGUUCAUGAUAAUCAUUUAUUAUCCAUGCUAGAAUUGUAUUGAUAGGAAACUCAUAUACAUGUGUGGAUACAUAGACAACACCAUGUCCCUAGUAAGCCACUAGUUAACCAGCUCGUUCAUCAAUAGAUGGUUACGGUUUCCUGACCAUGGACAUUGGAUGUCUUUGAUAACGGGAUCACAUCAUUAGGAGAAUGAUGUGAUGGACAAGACCCAAUCCUAAGCCUAGCACAAAGAUCGUGUAGUUCGUAUGCUAAAGCUUUUCUAAAUGUCAAGUAUCAUUUCCUUAGACCAUGAGAUUGUGCAACUCCUGGAUACCGUAGGAAUGCUUUGGGUGUGCCAAACGUCACAAUGUAACUGGGUGGCUAUAAAGGUGCACUACGGGUAUCUCCGAAAGUGUCUGUUGGGUUGGCACGAAUCGAGACUGGGAUUUGUCACUCCGUGUGACGGAGAGGUAUCUCUGGGCCCACUCGGUAGGACAUCAUCAUUAUGUGCACAAUGUGACCAAGGAGUUGAUCACGAGAUGAUGUGUUACGGAACGAGUAAAGAGACUUGCCGGUAAUGAGAUUGAACAAGGUAUCGGAUACCAACGAUCGAAUCUCGGGCAAGUAUAAUACCGCUGGACAAAGGGAAUUGAAUACGGGAUUGAUUGAAUCCUUGACAUCAUGGUUCAUCCGAUGAGAUCAUCGUGGAACAUGUGGGAGCCAACAUGGGUAUCCAGAUCCCGCUUUUGGUUAUUGACCGGAGAGUCGUCUCGGUCAUGUCUGCAUGUCUCCCGAACCCGUAGGGUCUACACACUUAAGGUUCGGUGACGCUAGGGUUGUAGAGAUAUUAGUAUGCGGUAACCCAAAAGUUGUUCGGAGUCGCGGAUGAGAUCCCGGACGUCACGAGGAGUUCCUAAAUGGUCCGGAGGUAAAUAUUUAUAUAUAGGAAGUCCUAUUUUGGCCACCGGAAAAUGUUUGGGAUUUUUCGGUAUUGUACCGGAAAGGUUCUAGAAGGUUCCGGAGUGGGGCCCACCUGCAUGUGGGGACCCACAUGAACAUGGGUAGUGGGGGCAAAGCCCCACACCCCUGGUCAAGGCGCACCAAGAUCCCCCCUUAGAAGGAAUAAGAUCAUAUCCCGAAGGGAUAAGAUGAAGAUCCCUAAAAAGGGGGGAUAACAAUCGGUGGGGAAGGGAAAUGAUGGGAUUUCUUUCCCCCACCUUUGCUAACGCCCCAAUGGACUUGGAGGGCAAGAAACCAGCCCCCUCCACCCCUAUAUAUAGUGGGGAGGCGCAUGGGAGCCGCACCCUAGCCCCUGGCGCCUCCCUCUCCCCUCGUAACACCUAUCCCUCUUGCUGAGCUUGGCGAAGCCCUGCCGAGAUCCCCGCUGCUUCCACCACCACACCGUCGUGCUGCUGGAUCUCCAUCAACCUCUCCUUCCCCCUUGCUGGAUUAAGAAGGAGGAGACGUCUUCCCCAACCGUAUGUGUGUUGAACGCGGAGGUGCCGUCCGUUCGGUGCUCGGUCAUCGGUGAUUUGGAUCACGACGAGUAUGACUCCAUCAACCCCGUUCUCUUGAACGCUUCUGCUCGCGAUCUACAAGGGUAUGUAGAUGCACUCCUCUCUCUCGUUGCUAGAUGACUCCAUAGAUUGAUCUUGGUGAUGCGUAGAAAAUUUUAAAAUUCUGCUACGUUCCCCAACAAUGGCAUCAUGAGCUAGGUCUAUGCGUAGUUUCUAUGCACGAGUAGAACACAAAGUAGUUGUGGGCGUCGAUUUUGUCAAUUUACUUGCCAUUACUAGUCUUAUGUUGAUUUGGCGGCAUCGUGGGAUGAAGCGGCCUGGACCGACCUUACACGUACACUUACGUGAGACAGGUUCCACCGACUGACAUGCACUAGUUGCAUAAGGUGGCUAGCGGGUGUCUGUCUCUCCCACUUUAGUCGGAUCGGAUUCGAUGAAAAGGGUCCUUAUGAAGGGUAAAUAGAAAUUGGCAUAUCACGUUGUGGUUUUUGCGAGGGUAAGAAAUGUCCUUGCUAAGAAACCUAUAGCAGCCACGUAAAAAUUUGCAACAACAAUUAGAGGACAUCUAACUUGUUUUUGCAGCAUAUGCCGUGUGAUGUGAUAUGGCCAAAAGGAUGUGAUGAAUGAUAUAUGUGAUGUAUGAGAUUGAUCAUGUUCUUGUAAUAGGAAUCACGACUUGCAUGUCGAUGAGUAUGACAACCGGCAGGAGCCAUAGGAGUUGUCUUAAUUUAUUUAUGACCUGUGUGUCAACAUAAAUGUCAUGUAUUUACUUUACUUUAUUGCUAAACCGUUAGCCAUAGUAGUAGAAGUAAUAGAUGACGAGACAACUUCAUGAAGACACGAUGAUGGAGAUCAUGAUGAUGGAGAUCAUGGUGUCAUGCCGGUGACGAUGAUGAUCAUGGCGCCCCGAAGAUGGAGAUCAAAAGGAGCAAAAUGAUAUUGGGCAUAUCAUGUCACUAUUUGAUUGCAUGUGAUGUUUAUCAUGUUUUACAUCUUAUUUGCUUAGAAUGAUGGUAGCUAAAAUAAUAUGAUCCCUCGCAAUAAUUUCAAGAAAAGUGUUCCCCCUAACUGCGCACCGUUGCGAAGGUUCGUUGUUUCGAAGCACCACGUGAUGAUCGGGUGUGAUAGAUUCUAACGUUCGAAUACAACGGGUGUAAGCCAGAUUUACACACGCAAUACACUUAGGUUGACUUGACGAGCCUAGCAUGUACAGACAUGGCCUCGGAACGCGGAAGACCGAAAUGUCGAACAUGAAUCGUAUAGAAGAUACGAUCAACAUGAAGAUGUUCACCGAUGAUGACUAAUCCGUCUCAUGUGAUGAUCGGACACGACCUAGUUGACUCGGAUCAUGUAUCACUUAGAUGACUAGAGGGAUGUCUAUCUAAGUGGGAGUUCAUUAAAUAAUCAGAUGAACUUAAUUAUCAUGAACAUAUUCAAAAGGACUUUGCAAAUUAUGGUGUAGCUUACGCAUUAGUUCUACUGUUUUAGAUAUGUUCCUAGAGAAAAUUUAGUUGAAAGUUGAUAGUAGCAAUUAUGCGGACUGGGUCCGUAAACAGAGGAUUGUCCUCAUUGCUGCGCAGAAGGAUUAUGUCCUUAAUGCACCGCUCAGUGAGCUGAACCUCGAACGUCGGUUGUGGAUGUUGCGAACAUCUGACAUACACGUUUUGAUGGCUACAUGAUAGUUCAGUGCGUAAUGCUAAAUUGUUUAGAAUUGAGGCACCAAAGGCGUUUUUGAAACAUCGCAGAACAUAUGAGAUGUUUCAAGGACUGAAAUUGGGAUUUCAGGCUAGUGCCCACGUCAAGAGGUAUGAGACCUUUGACAAGUUUCUUAAGCCUGCACACUAAGGAGAAAAGCUCAAUCGUUGAGCAUGUGCUUAGAUUGUAUGAGUACUACAAUCGCUUGAAUCGAGUGGGAGUUGAUCUUCCAGAUGAGAUAGUGAUGGUUCUCCAAAGUCACUGCCACCAAGCUACUAGAGCUUCGUGAUGAACUAUAACAUAUCAGGGAUAGAUAUGAUGAUCCUUGAGCUAUUCGCGACACCGCGAAAGUAGAAAUCAAAUAGGAGCAUCAAUUGUUGAUGGUUAGUAAAAUGACUAGUUUCAAGAAGGGCAAGGGCAAGAAAGGGAUACUUCAUGAAACGACAAAUCAGUUGCUGCUCUAGUGAAGAAACCCAAAGUUGAACCCAAGCCCGAGACUAAGUGCUUCUGUAAUAAGGGGAACGGUCACUGAAGCAGAACCACCCUAGAUACUUGGUAGAUGAGAAGGCUGGCAAGGUUGAAAGAAGUAUGUAUUGGACAUACAUUAUAUUAAAUGUGUACUUUACUAGUACUCCUAGUAGCAGCAGGUGAUAGAGGCGAGGGUGUCCCGAUCUUUCGAUGAGAUGAUAACUAUCGAUUUGGUGGAGACGACUUUGACGAUCCGACUACAAACAUGCACGACGUUGCGCCUUAGCAAUCGCUAAACCAAUCUCCUGAGGUUACUGACGAUGCCGGAAGCACGGUCAGCCUGACCACGAAGGUCUAUUCCUGCAAGCAAUCGAAGAACGAGCAAAAAUAUGAUAAAGCAAUCUGAAUAUUGCAAAUAUAUAUGAGGUAUUGAUAAUAGUGGGGAUCCGGAAGCGGUCUUGGUCUGGUCGUUGGACACAAACGAAGUACACGAAGUUACAAUGGCUAACUUUUAACUAAACAAAUCCCAAGGAAAAGCUACUAGAUGGAUCUACUUAUAUAGGAGCAAGGGGUGGCGGCCAAGGAGGUGGGAGGACGUCCCAAGGCAGCCUAAAACUAAAUCUAGGUCGUACAAGGCCAAUGGGCCCAAGUGGAGGUGAUGUAACACCUUUGGACUUGUAGUUUGACUCGGAUUCUGCUGCAGCAUCAGAUUGUUUCAUCCACAACUCAACGCUCCGGACGAAUUUGAAGGUGAUUCCAAUUGGGUUGGAAAGUGCACGAAAUCUAGUUUCCACCAAAAAAAGAAUCACCCAAUUCGGAGUCCGUAUGAAAAACUUGUGUGCGUUUUGAGUCAGGUAUGUCUGUGCAGUCCGAAUCUGAAUCCAGAACAUGAGAGACUUGGACUCUAUCUUCUCUUGGGCCAAAAGUGACGUGAGAGAACUUUUUGGACAGCAAAUAAACAUCUCUUUCUUCCUUAUCUUCAUAUGUGGAUUGUACAAAUGUCCCAUACACCUGCAAUUAGACAAAACACAAAAGUGUGUGAAGUAUUUUUGUUCUGGAUAACAUAAAUAUGCAUAGUUUGCACUAGAAAUCACCUGACAAAUAUGCAUAUAUGCAAUAUUUUUGGUCAUAUCCAAGGUAGUCAUGUCCUCAUCAUCCUCCCCUUCUUGAAAAUAAAGCCGUCCUCGGCGUUGCUUAAUCUGAAAUGUGGCUAACAAAAGAGACAAGGUGUACAUGUUGUAUAUGUAUAUGUCAUCCAUUUUUACUUCCCUUGAUUUCUGCAUAUAUGACACAUGAAUAGAUGAGUAACUUGCAUAGUUCAUAAAAUCUAAAGCCAAAAAAUUAGCACAAGAAGUAGAAGGCAUGAAAAUAUUGCAACUCAGUUUGCACAUAUAAGUGAAGCUCUUAUUCAUUUCAAAAGAUUGACAAUUGUCAUCAUUAAACCAUCCCAACAUUGGUGAAUAAACCUUACUUGCAUCAAAUUUACAUGCUACAACAUGCUUAAAUAAGCAAACAUGCAAUAAGUCAUUCAACACAGAAUCAUCACCAAGAUUAGAGGUCAUAUCAAAAUGAUUAAACAUUGGUUCUUUUGCAUCAAUAGUUAAUUCAAUGGGUGCACUCAAAAUUGUUGGUAUUUCAGUUGUUUGAUCACAUGGCAAAGUCAAAUUAUCAACGUAGUCCUCUAAAAUAGGUGGUUUGAUCAAAGUAGUGGGUAGCUCAUCAGAUGGUGCAUUCAAAUUGACAAGGCAUUCAUCAUUCUCAUGUAGAGAUGGAAGAUCAGUACCUUUGUCAUUACCUCUUAUGAUCAACUCAGAUGAUGUAGCCACUCUCGGGGGCGAUGUGUCACAUGGUGGAGGUGAUGUAGUCCUGACAACAACGGAUGUGGUUGUCAUAGUAUGCCUAGUAGUUGAAGGAACAAUCAUAUCAACUCUUGGAAUGUGCACCGUGCGCUUGUUCUCCUCGUGGCCAACACGUCGUUUUAUUUCCUGUUCAGCUUUGCAAGCAAGAUGAUAGAGGCGGGGGUGUCCCGAUCUUUCGAUGAGAUGAUAACUAUCGAUUUGGUGGAGACGACUUUGACGAUCCGACUACAAACGUGCACGACGUUGCGCCUUAGCAAUCGCUAAACCAAUCUCCUGAGGUUACUGACGAUGCCGGAAGCACGGUCAGCCUGACCACGAAGGUCUAUUCCUGCAAGCAAUCGAAGAACGAGCAAGAAUAUGAUAAAGCAAUCUGAAUAUUGCAAAUAUAUAUAAGGUAUUGAUAAUGGUGGGGAUCCGUAAGCGGUCUUGGUCUGGUCGUUGGACACAAACGAAGUACACGAAGUUGCAAUGGCUAACUUUUAACUAAACAAAUCCCCCGGAAAAGCUACUAGAUGGAUCUACUUAUAUAGGAGCAAGGGGUGGCGGCCAAGGAGGUGGGAGGACGUCCCAAGGCAGCCUAAAACUAAAUCUAGGUCGUACAAGGCCAAUGGGCCCAAGUGGAGGUGAUGUAACACCUUUGGACUUGUAGUUUGACUCGGAUUCUGCUGCAGCAUCAGAUUGUUUCGUCCACAACUCAAAGCUCCGGACGAAUUUGAAGGUGAUUCCAAUUGGGUUGGAAAGUGCACGAAAUCUAGUUUCCAACAAAAAAAAUCACCCAAUUCGGAGUCCGUAUGAAAAACUUGUGUGCGUUUUGAGUCAGAUGUGUCUGUGCAGUCCGAAUCUGAAUCCAGAACGUGAGAGACUUGGAAUCUAUCUUCUCUUGGGCCAAAAGUGACGUGAGAGAACUUUUUGGACAGCAAAUAAACAUCUCUUUCUUCCUUAUCUUCAUAUGUGGAUUGUACAAAUGUCCCAUACACCUGCAAUUAGACAAAACACAAAAGUGUGUGAAGUAUUUUUGUUCUGGAUAACAUAAAUAGAUUAUUGAAUAGUUUGCACUAGAAAUCACCUGACAAAUAUGCAUAUAUGCAAUAUUUUUGGUCAUAUCCAAGGUAGUCAUGUCCUCAUCAUCCUCCCCUUCUUGAAAAUAAAGCCGUCCUCGGCGUUGCUUAAUCUGAAAUGUGGCUAACAAAAGAGACAAGGUGUACAUGUUGUAUAUGUAUAUGUCAUCCAUUUUUACUUCCCUUGAUUUUUGCAUAUAUGACACAUGAAUAGAUGAGUAACUUGCAUAGUUCAUAAAAUCUAAAGCCAAAAAAUUAGCACAAGAAGUAGAAGUCAUGAAAAUAUUGCAACUCAGUUUGCACAUAUAAGUGAAGCUCUUAUUCAUUUCAAAAGAUUGACAAUGUUCAUCAUUAAACCAUCCCAACAUUGGUGAAUAAACCUUACUUGCAUCAAAUUUACAUGCUACAACAUGCUUAAAUAAGCAAACAUGCAAUAAGUCAUUCAACACAGAAUCAUCACCAAGAUUAGAGGUCAUAUCAAAAUGAUUAAACAUUGGUUCUUUUGCAUCAAUAGUUAAUUCAAUGGGUGCACUCAAAAUUGUUGGUAUUUCAGUUGUUUGAUCACAUGGCAAAGUCAAAUUAUCAACGUAGUCCUCUAAAAUAGGUGGUGUGAUCAAAGUAGUGGGUAGCUCAUCAGAUGGUGCAUUCAAAUUGACAAGGCAUUCAUCAUUCUCAUGUAGAGAUGGAAGAUCAGUACCUUUGUCAUUACCUCUUAUGAUCAACUCAGAUGAUGUAGCCACUCUCGGGGGCGGUGUGUCACAUGGCGUAGGUGAUGAAAUAAAGCCGUCCUCGGCGUUGCUUAAUCUGAAAUGUGGCUAACAAAAGAGACAGGGUCUACAUGUUGUAUAUGUAUAUGUCAUCCAUUUUUACUUCCCUUGAUUUUUGCAUAUAUGACACAUGAAUAGAUGAGUAACUUGCAUAGUUCAUAAAAUCUAAAGCCAAAAAAUUAGCACAAGAAGUAGAAGGCAUGAAAAUAUUGCAACUCAGUUUGCACAUAUAAGUGAAGCUCUUAUUCAUUUCAAAAGAUUGACAAUGUUCAUCAUUAAACCAUCCCAACAUUGGUGAAUAAACCUUACUUGCAUCAAAUUUACAUGCUACAACAUGCUUAAAUAAGCAAACAUGCAAUAAGUCAUUCAACACAGAAUCAUCACCAAGAUUAGAGGUAAUAUCAAAAUGAUUAAACAUUGGUUCUUUUGCAUCAAUAGUUAAUUCAAUGGGUGCACUCAAAAUUGUUGGUAUUUCAGUUGUUUGAUCACAUGGCAAAGUCAAAUUAUCAACGUAGUCCUCUAAAAUAGGUGGUGUGAUCAAAGUAGUGGGUAGCUCAUCAGAUGGUGCAUUCAAAUUGACAAGGCAUUCAUCAUUCUCAUGUAGAGAUGGAAGAUCAGUACCUUUGUCAUUACCUCUUAUGAUCAACUCAGAUGAUGUAGCCACUCUCGGGGGCGAUGUGUCACAUGGUGGAGGUGAUGUAGUCCUGACAACAACGGAUGAGGUUGUCAUAGUAUGCCUAGUAGUUGAAGGAACAAUCAUAUCAACUCUUGGAAUGUGCACUGUGCGCUUGUUCUCCUCGUGGCCAACACGUCGUUUUAUUUCCUGUUCAGCUUUGCAAGCAAGAUGAAACAAAUGGUCCAUAGGAUAACACUCUUCAUGAAUUAGUAUCUCUUGAAUAUCACGGUUUAAUCCUCCCCAAAAUCUAUCCAUAAAAUCAUCUUCACUUUCUUCUAAAGAGGAAUGCAACAAGGUAGUUUGUAAAUCAUCAUAAUAUUUUUUUACAGUUUCACUACCUUGUUUUAAGUGUUGCAACUUCUUAAUAAUGUCACGAGUAUAAUAAGCAGGGACGAAAGUAUGUCGCAUGGCAAGUUUCAAAUCAUCCCAAGUAGUAGGUAUAUAAUCAGGGUGUAACCGACAAUAUUCACUCCACCAAACCAAAGCAUAACCAGUGAAAAAACCAACCGCAACCUUAACCUUUUUAUGUUCAUCGAAAUUAUGGGAAGCAAAUAUAUUUUUUAUGUCGAACUCCCAUUCAAUAUAUAAAGUAGGUUUAAAACGGCCAUUAAAUGGUGGUAUAGAUACAUUAACCUGAUCAUGUGCAUUUGGAUGUUUGUGCACCUCUCGUGACGGUUGUGGUAUUUGCAAAGGUGGUGGCACGUCUCCCGCGAUCGAUAAAGCCCAUGAAUUGACUCUGGAUCCUGUCAUGAUUAGUAGAACAAGAAGCAAAACCCAAAAAUAAUGUUCCUAUAACUACUAGGAUGUGGUGGUAAAACGCUCACAGUAAAGCAAAUAUCAAUGUCUUACAAGUUCUUACCAUGCAGCAGGCGGUGAUCGGCAACCAGCGGUGUCAAGUAACUCCGAAUAUUGAGUAAAGCGAUUGCCAGGGGAGCGUACGUAUACACGGUGUAGAAAUAUGUGGAGCUGGGUUGGCUAUAUAUGGUAGCAAAAGAUUAGCAAUAAUCAAUUCAAAGAUGCAAUGUUGAAUAAACGCUCAACGACGGUACUGUGCUGGUCCUAGGCUAGACCGGACUAGAGACGCGAGCCUAGAACACUAAUGAGGUCACGGCGUAGCACAACUAGCAUCAAUGAAGGAUACUAAGUAGCUCUUGACAGCAAGAUAUAAGUGAAGAUAUAAGUGAUAGAGGCGAGGGUCCCGAUCUUUCGAUGAGAUGAUAACUAUCGAUUUGGUGGAGACGACUUUGACGAUCCGACUACAAACGUGCACGACGUUGCGCCUUAGCAAUCGCUAAACCAAUCUCCUGAGGUUACUGACGAUGCCGGAAGCACGGUCAGCCUGACCACGAAGGUCUAUUCCUGCAAGCAAUCGAAGAACAAGCAAGAAUAUGAUAAAAGCAAUCCGAAUAUUGCGAGUAUAUAUGAAGUAUUGAUAAAGGUGGGGAUCCGUAAGCGGUCUUGGUCUGGUCGUUGGACACAAACGAAGUACACGAAGUUGCAAUGGCUAACUUUUAACUAAACAAAUCCCAAGGAAAAGCUACUAGAUGGAUCUACUUAUAUAGGAGCAAGGGGUGGCGGCCAAGGAGGUGGGAGGACGUCCCAAGGCAGCCUAAAACUAAAUCUAGGUCGUACAAGGCCAAUGGGCCCAAGUGGAGGUGAUGUAACACCUUUGGACUUGUAGUUUGACUCGGAUUCUGCUGCAGCAUCAGAUUGUUUCGUCCACAACUCAACGCUCCAGACGAAUUUGAAGGUGAUUCCAAUUGGGUUGGAAAGUGCACGAAAUCUAGUUUCCCACAAAAAAAGAAUCACCCAAUUCGGAGUCCGUAUGAAAAACUUGUGUGCGUUUUGAGUCAGGUAUGUCUGUGCAGUCCGAAUCUGAAUCCAGAACGUGAGAGACUUGGACUCUAUCUUCUCUUGGGCCACAAGUGACAUGAGAGAACUUUUUGGACAGCAAAUAAACAUCUCUUUCUUCCUUAUCUUCAUAUGUGGAUUGUACAAAUGUCCCAUACACCUGCAAUUAGACAAAACACAAAAGUGUGUGAAGUAUUUUUGUUCUGGAUAACAUAAAUAGAUUAUUGAAUAGUUUGCACUAAAAAUCACCUGACAAAUAUGCAUAUAUGCAAUAUUUUUGGUCAUAUCCAAGGUAGUCAUGUCCUCAUCAGCAGGGUAUUAGAUACCGGUUCGGUUGCUAAGUGUUGGUAACUCGAAAUGAAAGGCUACGGAAUAAACGGAGACUAGUCAACGGUGAGACGAUGAUAUGUGUUGGAAGUGUUUCCAAGGUUGAUGUGAUCAAGCAUCGCACGCUCCGUUUACCAUCAGGAUUGGUGUUAUUUGGUGUUUGAGUUGAGCAUAGACAUGAUUGAAUUAUGUUUAUCGCAAUACGGUUAUUCAUUUAAGGAGAAUAAUGGUUACUCUAUUUAUUUGAAUAAUACCUUCAAUGGUCUUGCACCUAAAAUGAAUGGUUUAUCGAAUCCCGAUCGUAGUGAUACACAUGUUCAUGCCAAAAGAUAUAAGAUAGUAAUGAUAGUACCACAUACUUGUGGCACUGCAAUUUUAGUCACAAUGGUAUAAAACGCAUGAAGAAGCUCCAUGUUGAUGGAUCUUUGGACUCGCUUGAUUUUGAAUCACUUGAGACAUGCAAAUCAUACCACAUGAGCAAGAUGACUGAAAGGCCUCGUUUUCAGUAAGAUGGAACAAGAAAGCAACUUGUUGGAAGUAAUACAUCUUGAUGUGUGCAGUCCAAUGAGUGCUGAGGCAUGUAGUGGAUAUCGUUAUAUUCUUACUUCACAGAUGAUUUGAGUAGAUGCUAAGUAUAUUUACUUGAUGAAUCACGAGCCUGAAUUAUUGAAAGGUUCAAGUAAUUUCAGGGUGAAGUUGAAGAUCGUCGUGACAAGAGGAUAAAAUAUCUAUGAUAUGAUCAUAGAGAUGAAUAUCUGAAUUACGAGUUUGGCACAGAAUUAAGACAUUGUGGAAAUUGUUUCACAACUAAUACAGCCUGGAACACCAUAGUGUGAUGGUGUGUCCGAACAUCAUAACUGCACCCUAUUGGAUAUGAUGCAUACCAUGAUGUCUCUUAUCGAAUUACCACGAUAGUUUAUGGGUUAGGCAUUAGAGACAACCACAUUCACUUUAAAUAGGGCACCACGUAAUUCCGAUGAGAUGACACAGUAUGAACUAUGGUUUAGAGAAACCUAAGUUGCCAUUUCUUAAAAGUUUGGGGCUGCAACGCUUAUGUGAAAAAGUUUCAGGCUGAUAAGCUCGAACCCAAAGCGGAUAAAUGCAUCUUCAUAGAGUACCCAAAACAGUUGGGUAUACCUCCUGUCUCAGAUCUGAAAGCAAUAGGGAUUGUUUCUAGAAUUGGGUCCUUUCUCGAGGAAAAGUUUCUCUUGAAAGAAUUGAGUGGGAGGAUGGUGGAGACUUGAUGAGGUUAUUGAACUGUCACUUCAACCAGUGUAUAGCAGGGCAUAGGGAGUUGUUCCUGUGGCACCUACACCAAUUGAAGUGGAAGCUUAUGAUAGUGAUCAUGAAACUUCGGAUCAAGUCACUACCAAACCUCGUAGGAUGACAAGGAUGCGUACUACUUUAGAGUGGUACGUAAUCCUGUCUUGGAAGUCAUGUUGCUAGACAACAAUGAACCUACGAGCUAUGGAGAAGCGAUGGUGGGCCCGGAUUCCGAAAAUUGGCUCGAGGCCAUAAAAUCCGAGAGAGGAUCCAUGUAUGAAAACAAAGUGUAGACUUUGGAAGAACUGCUUGAUGGUCAUAAGGCUGUUGGGUACAUAUGGAUUUUAAAAGAAAGACGGACAAUGGUGGUAAGUAUCACCAUUAAGAAAGCUCGACUUGUCGUUAAGAUGUUUUCCGACAAGUUCAAGGAGUUGACUACGAUGAGACUUUCUCACUCGUAGCGAUGCUAGGAGUCUGUUGGAAUUAUGUUAGCAGUUACUGCAUUGUUUAUGAAAUCUUGCAGAUACGAUGUCAAAAUAUUGUUUCCUUGACGAUUUUAUUGAGGAAAGGUUGUAUGUGAUACAACCAGAAGGUUUUGUCAGUCCUGAAAAAUGCUAACAAGUAUGCAAAGCUCCAGUAAUCCUUCUAAGGACUAGAGUAAGCAUCUCGGAGUUGGAAUGUACGCUUUGAUGAGAUGAUCAAAGCUUUUGGGUUUAUACAAAGUUUAUGAGAAACUUGUAUUUCCAAAGAAGUGAGUGGGAGCACUAUAGAAUUUCUGAUGAGUAUAUGUUGUUGACAUAUUGUUGAUCAGAAAUGAUGUAGAAUUUCUGGAAAGCAUAUAGGGUUAUUUGAAAAGUGUUUUUCAAUGGAAAACCUGGAUUAAGCUACUUGAACAUUGAGCAUCAAGAUCUAUAAGGAUAGAUCAAAACGCUUAAUGGUACUUUCAAAUGAGCACAUACCUUGACAGGAUCUUGAAGGUGUUCAAGAUGGAUCAGUCAAAGAAGGAGUUCUUGCCUGAGUUGUAAGGUAUGAAGUUAUGAAGUUAAAGCUCGACCAUGGCAGGAGAAAGAGGAAGGCCGAAGGUCGUCCCCUAUGCUUUUGUCAUAGGCUCUAUACAGUAUGCCAUGCUGAGUACCACACCUGAUGUGUGCCUUGCCACAUGUCUGGUAAGAGGGUACAAAGGUGAUCUAGGAGUAGAUCACCAGAUAAUGGUCAAAAUUAUCCUUAGAGGAAUAAGGAUAUGGUUCUCGGUUAUGGAGGUGAUAAAGAGUUCGACGUAAAGAGUUACAUCGAUGCAAGCUUAACACCUAUCCGGAUAGCUCUGAGUAGAGAUACCGGAUACGUAUAAUGGAGCAACAAUUUAGAAUAGCUCCAAGUAGAACGGUUAUUUGAAAUGGCUCCAAAUAUAGCAUAGAGAUUUGCGAAGUACAUAUGGAUCUGAAUGUUGCAGGCCCAUUGACUAAAACCUCUCUCACAAGCAUAACAUGAUCAAACCCAGAACUCAUUGAGUGUUAAUCACAUAGUGAUGUGAAGUAGAUUAUUGACUCUAGUAAACUCUUUGGAUGUUGGUCACAUGGCGAUGUGACCUGUGAGUGUUAAUCACAUGGCGACGUGAACUAGAUUAUUGACUCUAGUGCAAGUGGGAGACUGUUGGAAAUAUGCCCUAGAGGCAAUAAUAAAUUGGUUAUUAUUAUAUUUCCUUGUUCAUGAUAAUCGUUUAUUAUCCAUGCUAGAAUUGUAUUGAUAGGAAACUCAGAUACAUGUGUGGAUACAUAGACAACACCAUGUCCCUAGUAAGCCUCUAGUUAACUAGCUCGUUCAUCAAUAGAUGGUUACGGUUUCCUGACCAUGGACAUUGGAUGUCGUUGAUAACCGGAUCACAUCAUUAGGAGAAUGAUGUGAUGGACAAGACCCAAUCCUAAGCCUAGCACAAAGAUCGUGUAGUUCGCAUGCUAAAGCUUUUCUAAAUAUCAAGUAUCAUUUCCUUAGACCAUGAGAUUGUGCAACUCCCGGAUACCGUAGGAAUGCUUUGUUUGUGCCAAACGUCACAACGUAACUGGGUAGCUAUAAAGGUGCACUACGGGUAUCUCCGAAAGUGUCUGUUGGGUUGGCACGAAUCGAGACUGGGAUUUGUCACUCCGUGUGACGGAGAGGUAUCUCUGGGCCCACUCGGUAGGACAUCAUCAUAAUGUGCACAAUGUGACCAAGGAGUUGAUCACGAGAUGAUGUGUUACGGAACGAGUAAAGAGACUUGCCGGUAACGAGAUUGAACAAGGUAUCGGAUACCAACGAUCGAAUCUCGGGCAAGUAUAAUACCGCUGGACAAAGGGAAUUGAAUACGGGAUUGAUUGAAUCCUUGACAUCGUGGUUCAUCCGAUGAGAUCAUCAUGGAACAUGUGGGAGCCAACAUGGGUAUCCAGAUCCCGCUGUUGGUUAUUGACUGGAGAGUCGUCUCGGUCAUGUCUGCAUGUCUCCCGAACCCGUAGGGUCUACACACUUAAGGUUCGGUGACGCUAGGGUUGUAGAGAUAUUAGUAUGCGGUAACCCAAAAGUUGUUCGGAGUCCCGGAUGAGAUCUCGGACGUCACGAGGAGUUCCUAAAUGGUCCGGAGGUAAAGAUUUAUAUAUAGGAAGUCCUAUUUUGGCCACCGGAAAAUGUUCGGGAUUUUUCAGUAUUGUACUGGGAAGGUUCUAGAAGGUUCCGGAGUGGGGCCCACCUGCACGGGGGGACCCACAUGAACGUGGGUAGUGGGGGCAAGGCCCCACACCCCUGGUCAAGGCGCACCAAGAUUCCCCCUUAGAAGGAAUAAGAUCAUAUCCUGAAGGGAUAAGAUCAAGAUCCCUAAAAAGGGGGGAUAACAAUCGGUGGGGAAGGGAAAUGAUGGGAUUUCUUUCCCCCACCUUUGCUAACGCCCCAAUGGACUUGGAGGGCAAGAAACCAGCCCCCUCCACCCCUAUAUAUAGUGGGGAGGCGCAUGGGAGCCACACCCUAGCCCCUGGCGCCUCCCUCCCCCCUCGUAACACCUCUCCCUCUCGCUGAGCUUGGUGAAGCCCUGCUGAGAUCCCCGCUGCUUCCACCACCACGCCGUCGUGCUGCUGGAUCUCCAUCAACCUCUCCUUCCCCCUUGCUGGAUCAAGAAGGAGGAGACGUCUUCCCCAACCGUACGUGUGUUGAACGCGGAGGUGCCGUCCGUUCGGUGCUCAGUCAUCGGUGAUUUGGAUCACGACGAGUAUGACUCCAUCAACCCCGUUCUCUUGAACACUUCUGCUCGCGAUCUACAAGGGUAUGUAGAUGCACUCCUCUCUCUUGUUGCUAGAUGACUCCAUAGAUUGAUCUUGGUGAUGCAUAGAAAAUUUUAAAAUUCUGCUACGUUCCCCAACAGUGCCUAGGUGGGGCUACGACGUGUUGAUCUUCCGAGGCUGGGCAUAACCCAGGAAAGUGUGUCCGGCCAAAGGGGAUCGAGCAUGUUGGGAAAUGUGGUGCACCCCUGCAGGGAAGUUUAUCUAUUCGAAUAGCCGCAUCCCUCGGUAAAAGGACGACCCGGAGUUGUACGUUGACCUUAUAACAACUAGAACCGGAUACUUAAUAAAAUACACCCUUCCAAGUGCCAGAUACAACCUGGUGAUCGCUCUCUCAUAGGGCGUCGAGGAGAGGAUCGCCGGGUAGGUUUAUGCUAUGCGAUGAUACUUGGUUAACUUAUCAUCUAUUCUCUUCUACUGCUUCAAUUUGGAGGCUGCCGGAAGCGUAGUCUUCGAUAGGACUAGCUAUCCCCCUCUUAUUCUGGCAUUCUGCAGUUCAGUCCACAUAUACUACCCCUUUCAUUGAUACCAAUGCAUAUGUAGUGUAGUUCCUUGCUUGCGAGUACUUUGAAUGAGUACUCACGGUUGCUUUGCUCCCCCAUUUCCCCCUUUCUAUACCUGGUUGUUGCGACCAGAUGAUGGAGCCCAGGAGCCAGACGCCAUCGUCGACAAUGACUCCUACUACACCGGAGGUGUCUACUACUACGUGCGAGCCGCCACCGCCGACCAGGAGUGGUUUAGGAGGGUCCCAGGCAGGAGGCAUGCGCCUCUUUCGACCUGUAUCCCAGUUUGUGCUAGCCAUCUUAUGGCAACUUGUUUAACUUAUGUCUGUACUCAUAUAUUGUUGCUUCCGCUGACUCGUCUAUGAUCGAGCUUUUAUAUUCGAGACCUCAAGGCCCCUGGCUUGUAAUAUGAUGCUUGUAUGACUUAUUUUAUUUGUAGAGUUGUGUUGUGAUAUCUUCCCAUGAGUCCCUGAUCUUGAUCAUACAUGUUUGCGUGUAUGAUUAGUGUACGGUCAAAUCGAGGGCGUCACAAGUUGUUAUCAGAGCCGACUGCCUGUAGGAGUCCCUCUUCCACACUCCUUGCCGAAGUUGAGUCUAGUCGAUGAAAAUUGUUUUACUAACAUGGCUGUGCGGCCCAUGGGCCCACGUCGCCAUUGGGUGGUAUUAGGAUCUUUUAUUCCUCGUUUAUGCUCUGGGACUCUGAUUUAUCUACUAUUUGGGUUAAAUGAAUUUGCUAACUCCAACAUUAGGAUCUCGUGGUCGCAUACACCCGGAGAGCCCCAUAUUACAGAGGAUCACCUGCUGCAUCAGAAGAUUCCGAAGAUACUCUCUGAUGUUCUCUUGAGACUCUGUGCCCGUCGCUUUUGCAAUCCCCUACCACUGAUACAUCCGUAUGGAUAAAUACUUACACCCGUCCUUCUCACUUUCAUUCCCAGCUGCUCUUGUUAUUACAAGAUGCCCCGAAUUACUCUUUGUUGUUUCGAGAAUCCAUUGAGCUUACUGCCCUGCAGUUCCUUGCCGCAUGAAUACCACUACGAAUAAUUCUUCACACUUAUCGAGGAAUUAUUCAUUACUAGUUGAUCAUAUGAUUCACAAGAUACGUUUAAAUACUAUCUGGUCUUCCGGUAAUUCUCAUCCAACUAUUGCUCUGCAAAUACUUGUCUGCUUGCAUUAUGGUUAAUUCCAUAUUUCUAGCAAUCUCUGUUGACAUCCUUUGUCACUAUCAUUUUGAGUCCCUUGAUUCAAUAUUUUGCGAAUGCUCGCAAUCCUCAAUUAGAUCCUAGAAUUCAUCCUUUCCGGCUCAGUUGUCAUUUUGAACAUGAGCUGGUUCUCGGCCAAUCAAUUGUUGUCGAUUGUACCCCUAAGCCUACUCAACAUACCCAUCCUUAAUCAGAGCGAUUGCUUCUGAUCCCUUGAUUUGGAAAUCUUAAUUCCUUUGCCUUUGAGCUUUGAAUUAGCCAGUUGUUUCUAUAAUCCAAUGCCUUUGCAUUGCUUCUUCCUCUGGUUGUGUGCCGAUGCUCACAUCAGCUUUGUUAUGGACUGUUAGAUCCUUUGAUGAAUUAUCAUAUGAUAGUGUUCUUCAUAUACGAAAAACCUCGAGUAGUUUUUCCCCUGAUACAUAUUGCCAUUAGUAAAUCCUAUUCUCUUGUUUGGCCAACCAUGCUCUACUCUCGAGGUUGUGUUAUGUACUCUCGAAGCUUGUGGCAUAUGUUCCUAAGUUGUCCCCCAUGGGUUCAACCUAUGCCUUCCCUAAUCCAUGUGAACCCGAGAGUUAUCACGAGUCAUACUCUUCUGGUGUUGUGCCAGAUAAAAUUUCAACAUUAUUACUUCUUCAAAAAUGAGAAGUGACUUAAAGGUUAUGCAUUGGAGAAGUGGGAAUCAACCUUGAACUUUGUGUUCAUGCCCAUGGACCCGAUGUGGAACUUAUCAUGGAAGCUUCUUGUAAUAAUAAUACUCCCCUUGUUAUAAGUUCAUCUUGUAUCUAUGCUUGGUCCUUUGCAACCAUGGUUCCGACCAUGAUUGUUUUUCUUUGAUCCCAUUUCUCGGACAAGUUAAAUCGCUUGUCUUCUGCAGAUCAGUAUGCCUGCCCAACCUCGAUUCUGCUCUACCUUCGAGUAUUCCCCAAUGGUAUCUCAAGAAUAUCACGGAACUACAUAACUUCUUAUGAGUUCUUCCUCAACUAUUAUUUCUCAUUGAUUUCAAUUUUCCACGGGUUCUGAGUUGUUAGACACUCAAGGACACUGAUAGCUGAAUCGAGUCCGCCAUGCGAUUCAACAACACUUAGUAAACUUCAUUGCUUACAAGUUUAAUAAUCCUUCAAGUCAUUCCUAGCCUGAUCAGCUAUAUUAUCAUCAUGCUAAAUUUUAACUGUGCUACGUGGUCCUUCUUUCUGGAGCACAAUUUUCGAUGAUAAGCUAAGCUUACGUCGAUUUUCCUCAUCAUAUCAUUUCACUUUGAACAAAAAGCUUGAUUUUGAGUUUGUGUCGUACCCGUGUUCCAAUAACCUUCCGCUUCAUCAUUCCUUUGACUUGUUGUCGUCACUGAUUGAUUACAUUUUCAAGAAAUCUUUCGACAAAUAUGUCAUGAUCAUCCUCAACGUAAUGAGCUCUUCAUGAUAUCAAUCGACUUCGUGAUGAGAAAUAUCAUCCUUGCCCCUUGAUGAUUUGUGUUAUCAUCGACAACAUUAUUGCCUUCCUCCAACACAAACUUGUUCAUGUUAUGGAGAUUCUUGUUAUCCAACUUAUGUUAUGAUCUACCUUGGAGCAUUACCGUCUUUUAUGUCAAGAAUGUACUGAGAAUUUCACCACCUAAUAUGAAUUCUUGGUACAAGGGAUACUUCUCACCCUCACCAUUUUUUCUUGGUACCCAUGUUGAUUCUAACUAGAAUACCGACAAUUGAACUAUGAUGUGUGAAUUCAAAACUUCUAGCAACCCUAUUGCUUUGAAGUGAAUGGUCGAGUUUCAUUCUAAUUCUUUUGUUCAUUAAGUCACCAUUCUAACAUUAAUUGUGCAACCCAGCCCAUAUUUCGGGUGCAACUUUCAACCAAUGUUUAAUUGUGUAUGUUUUUCCUCGAGCAUACAUCAUUAUAUCAUUUGAUAUGACAAAUGUUAUCUCCUUGUUCACAUAAUUGUGGUAAUCCAUCUUUUUGGAAAUCUUGACAAAAUGUUGCUGAAUCCAUCAGCCACCUCCUCAUCCUCUCCUUGGAUUAAUGAUGAACUCUUGUUUCGGAACUUGCUUCCAUAGUUCAUUUCCUGAAAAUCUUACAAUGUCAUCUCGUCAAUUGUAUUGCACCUUUUCUUCUCAGGCAUCCUGAGUCUGAGGUAUCCUGACACCAAUCAGAUCCGAAUCUCAGUCGGAUAUGAUGGUUGGAACAUUUUUCCAAGAGUUAUAGCAUUGGUCUUUAUAAGACCCGAUAAGGUGAUGUCAUGCCUAGCACGCCUGGGCAGAGGACCUAUUGUUAUAGUAUCCUUUUUAGCAAGUUUAGCCAUUCUUCCAUGAGGAAAUUGUAAGACUUAUUCUAUAAGUUGUUUCUGAUGGAUCCUUUGUGAAUCCAAAGUCUGAUCUUUACCCAAUGACUAUGUCAAUGCUAUCUCGAAGCAUGUCUGUGGUACUCCGAUUUUCAAUAAGAACAUUUGAAGCACAAUGCUAAAUUUUCUUUAUUAUUUAUCCUAACACCGUUGUAUCGGUAAUAUCAUGAUAUUCCUUCCCCUUACCUAAAUGGUUUUCUACUUUCUAUCCUGUCAUGUAUAUCAUGCUCCGCUUGUCCUUGGGAAGGAUAUACCCCGAAAUAUGUGUGUAUACACAUUUUCCUUUCCAUUGUUCUGUCUAAACCUGAUAAUCACUUUUCCUUUCCAUUGGUUUGUGUAAACCUUCUUGUGAUCUAUAUUAUAUAAGUAGUAAUAUUUCCCUGCUUAUGUAAACACCUCGUUGUACCACUCUGUCAGUAAGACCAUGUUACUAUUGUUGAAAACAUUCCGGUAACCACCGAUGGACGAGAACUUUGCCUAUUGGUCCGCCUCGUUCAACGAGCAGGAAAUGGUUCUCUUCGUCCCUCGCCCUUGGUACCGAUGUUGUUGGCGACAUAACUGACAAGUUAUCCUCUGACAUGCCUUGCUUACAUGAUCAUUCUAGAUGCCAGCGCCCUUUCUACUUUUAACCCACAUGGUGGGCCCUUAACCCAUAGUUCCACAUGAUUGAAACCUGACUCUCCUGUACACUCCUGUUGCCAAAGUUUUUCCUCGCGCAUGGUCUCGUAUCUAAUUCACGAGCCACCUUCCGGGAGAUCAUCAGUUCUAGUAUCAGACACAAUACUUAUUCUCGUUGCUUGAAACCCCUCUCACACUCUGUUUCAGGCAUCGAAUGUUUGCCUACCCGCUUGAAAAUUUUCAUGCCUACUUUUAUUUCUCUUGAUGUAUUCCCUGAGUUCCAACUCGAGAGAUACUCAUAUGUUCAUUCAUGAGCUAACCCCCAGAUGAGUACCCUUACAGCAUUCUAUCGUUGCCGAGCUGCCACCUAUUCAUAAGUGUGAUUGAGUUCCCAAAGAAAGGAUGACGACUUCAUUAUGAUAAACCGAAACAAAGAAAUGAAGACAUCAACAAGGAUCAACUUCCUCGAGAAGAGAAACCAGGAAUGAGAAGACCCGUUAGAAUUUCGUAACGAGAAUUCCCCCCUUACUCCACCUCUUAGAUCUCGGGACGAGAUUUCUUGUAGUGGAGGAGAUUUAUAACACCCCGAGAAUCAUCCUACAGUAAUCUCCCUGUAAAGAUGGCCAUGUCAUCAUGAUUACUAUGCAAAUUGCCAUUCGAUAAAAAUCAAAGCCAAUUUCAAAUUUAAAACAAAGACAAAUAAAUCAUUUCUUCAAACUGUCCAACAAUAAUGUUCGUUGGGUGGCAAACAAUCACUAAGUAUUUGUCAUGUAGAAACCAAUAUUUUUGAAAUAUUAAAUUGCCACGAACCUACUUAAAUCAGUGCCUAAAACAACAUAUUUAAUCCUUUUGUUUUUAAAAGGAAAUUCAUACAACUUCAAAUCACACCCAAACUUUUUGUGGCAGUGAGGUAUAUUGCAUACUAAAUUUGGAGACUAACCACACAUUUUACAAAAGUCAUUUGGUUAAAGGAUUAAUGCCAAAUAGUAGUUGCAAAUGGAAAACAGAAAAGGAAAAAGGAAAAAGAAGAAAGACACUAUGCACUUAGGCCCAGUGCUACAGUGCAUGACCCAGCCCACCUCCAGUCUCCUCCCACCUCACGUACAGGAGCCCUGCCG
rnacentral:lncRNA from 1 species